CUUAGACAGAAUGACCCGACCAUGUAGGAAAUUUGUGCAUGAUGCAUAAUGAGUGAAAUAUUCAUUUUCUAAAAUGAAAACCACGAGAAGUUUACCCUCUAUACAAGGUUUGCGCAAUGCACUGCGAAGAAAAUCAAAAGAGUUAUGACGAGCUUGACAUUGAGAUCAUUAGCAUGAUUGCAUCGACAUUGAGAUCACAUCAGAGUGGAUGAAGUUGAAUGUAUGAUUGCAUCGACAUUGCGAUCACAUCAGAGGGGACAUAGGGGAAGAUGGCGUCUGAAUCCACUAGACACAUGAAUUCAAACAAACGAUGGCGGAC
rnacentral:lncRNA from 1 species